AUCGAACGCUGGCGGCAUGCCUUACACAUGCAAGUCGAACGGUAACAGGUUAAGCUGACGAGUGGCGAACGGGUGAGUAAUGUAUCGGAACGUGCCCAGUCGUGGGGGAUAACUACUCGAAAGAGUGGCUAAUACCGCAUACGACCUGAGGGUGAAAGAGGGGGACCGUAAGGCCUCGCGCGAUUGGAGCGGCCGAUAUCAGAUUAGCUAGUUGGUGGGGUAAAAGCCCACCAAGGCGACGAUCUGUAGCUGGUCUGAGAGGACGACCAGCCACACUGGGACUGAGACACGGCCCAGACUCCUACGGGAGGCAGCAGUGGGGAAUUUUGGACAAUGGACGCAAGUCUGAUCCAGCCAUGCCGCGUGCGGGAAGAAGGCCUUCGGGUUGUAAACCGCUUUUGUCAGGGAAGAAACGAGUUUCUCUAAUACAGAGACUUAAUGACGGUACCUGAAGAAUAAGCACCGGCUAACUACGUGCCAGCCGCCGCCGUAAAAC
rnacentral:rRNA from 1 species